UACGUAGGGUGCGAGCGUUGUCCGGAAUUAUUGGGCGUAAAGGGCUCGUAGGCGGUCUGUUGCGUCAGGAGUGAAAACUCGGGGCUUAACCCCGAGCCUGCUUCUGAUACGGGCAGACUAGAGGUAUGCAGGGGAGAACGGAAUUCCUGGUGUAGCGGUGAAAUGCGCAGAUAUCAGGAGGAACACCGGUGGCGAAGGCGGGACUCUGGGCCGAUACUGACGCUGAGGAGCGAAAGCGUGGGGAGCAAACAGG
rnacentral:rRNA from 1 species